UCACGUGCCGGGGCUCCCCGAGAGCGUGCGCGGUCCCCUGUCCCCAAACUUUGCGCCUGGACCCCGCGGAGGCCCCCGGAAGACAGACUGCGAUGGGAGGAAGGCGGGUUUGGAAAUCCGAGCACGCAGAGAUGGAUGCCUCAGGCCAAGGAAGAUGAAGGUCACGAACUCAUGAGGACAAGAAAGAAAAGCACAUUCAUCCAUUUGCAAAUAUACUUUUAUGCUUACAACCUUACCCUGGACAAUGGAAGCAAAGGAACCAUGACAGAACUUCAAGUCAAGAAGAGCCAUCUCCAAGCACCCACACCUGAGGGGCCUCCUCUCCUCCGGACCUGAUGUAGAUGUUGAAGUCCUGGAUGAGACUUCGGGCGGCCUCGGGGGUGAGUGUACAGUCAUUCGGAUGUGUGAGGGAUGUGAUUCAUCGGGGGGUGCGGUGCAGAGGGCUAGUCUUCAAAGCUAGCCCCCAGUGAAAACCACCUCUCCUGGUAUUCAUGACCUCGUGCAGGCCGCUCUCUGGAAUCUGCGUCGUCCCUGUGACUCACUUUGGCCAAUAGAAAGCAGUGCCCGUGAUGCCACAUGAUUUCUGAGGACAGCGCAUAGGGAGCCUUUUGGCUUCCACCUGGGUCUCUUACAAUGCUUGCUCUGGAACAAACCAGGCAUCGUGUAAGAAGUUGGUUUCUUCUGAGACUGAGAUGCUAUGGAGAGGCCAAGCUAGCCAUGUGGAAAAGUCACAGGAGAAAGCAGUUCGGUCCACCAGACUCUGCUUGGUCCAGCCGUUCCAGCUGAGACCAGCUAGGAGAGUCAGGAUGCUGCCAUCUUGGCCGUACAGCCCAGCUGAACCUGCAUUUGACUCUCAACCUUGCCACGGUUUGACCGCAACCAUGUGAGACCCCUCGCCCCAGCCACCAAGUGACGCCCGAGCCAGUCAAUCCACAGAACUGCAAGAGCUAAAAAGAAUUUCUUCUCAGCAACUAAACUUUGGGCUUUGUUAUAUGGCAACAGAUAACUGAAACAAUAAAAAAAAUUAUGUGCGUUUUAAUUUAAAAAAUGCAAAUUAAAUUGUAAAAGAUCAAAACAUUUUCACAUAAGUUUUUACCAAGUUAUUUUUCUUUAAAAUAUUCAAAAUUAUCUACUAAAAUUAAAAGGCAAAUGUAACCAAUACUAUAACUUAACGCAUUUUAUCUAAUACAAAAAUGUCAAAUAUUUAAAUA